ACCUGACUGGCUCAGUUGGAGGAGCAUGUGACUUUUGAUCUUGUAGUUGUGGGUUCAAAAUCCAUGUCAAGUA
rnacentral:tRNA from 1 species